rnacentral:rRNA from 1 species
AGUGAACGCUGGCGGUAGGCCUAACACAUGCAAGUCGAACGGCAGCACAGUAAGAGCUUGCUCUUACGGGUGGCGAGUGGCGGACGGGUGAGGAAUACAUCGGAAUCUACUUUUUCGUGGGGGAUAGCGUAGGGAAACUUACGCUACUACCGCAUACGACCUACGGGUGAAAGCAGGGGAUCUUCGGACCUUGCGCGAUUGAAUGAGCCGAUGUCGGAUUAGCUAGUUGGCGGGGCAAAGGCCCACCAAGGCGACGAUCCGUAGCUGGUCUAAGAGGAUGAUCAGCCACACUGGAACUGAGACACGGUCCAGACCCCUACGGGGGGCAGCAGUGGGGAAUAUUGGAAAAUGGGCGCAAGCCUGGUCCAGCCAUACCGGGUGGGUGAAGAAGGGCUUCGGGUUGUAAAGCCCUUUUGUUGAGAAAGAAAAGCAGCAUGUUAAUACCCCGCUGUUCUGACGGUACCCAAAGAAUAAGCACCGGCUAACCUCGUG